UUUUCCUUAUGCGUUUCUUUUAUUGUUGACAUUAUUAUAGAGGUUUUAAUUAGUAUCAAGCGCAGUCAGCUUUUUAAUUAGAGGCUUCGGGAAAAACAAAACAAAUUUAAAAAAAAAAAAAUGGAAAAGUGGGGUUCAGUAAUCUGUGAUCUUAACCCCAAUAUUCUUCUUGGGAUUGAUGGUUAAAAAAAGAAAAAAUAAAAAGAAAAUGAAGAAAACCCUCAAAUCUCCUUAUAUAAACAACUCCCUCCCCAUCCCCUAAACCUACAUCUCUCUCUCCCCCUGAUCUACCCCUGCAUUCUUGCUUCCUUUCUCUCCCUUUUUCUUAGAUUUUGACCCAUCUUUAUUCACUGGGUUGUUUUUAAGUGGUUGAAGCUUUCAACUUUCAACCAUCUUAUCUACUCCCAUGUGGUGUCUAUAGAUGACCCUUUUUGUAUUUUUCCACAGCUUUCUUGAACUGCAUAUAUGAGUGAUCUCUCUGCAUGCAGAGAUAAUGUUUUUCUUCUUGUUUGCGGUUCAAUAAAGCUGUGGGAAGAUACAGAAAGUGUCAAGAAAGUUCAAGAUCUGCUUUCGGUAUUAUUACUUAUAAUCCCUAAUUCCUCUUUGUUUUUAUGAUCCCGAUCUGAUUAUUUCCUUGGUUACGCAACGGUCGAUGGCAUUUCUCUGAACGCGAAGGUUCUUUUCUGAUCUUAAUUCUUUCAGUACAUGAGAUGUGUGGCUGAUGCUUCUUUUCUUUUUCUUUUUUCCUUUCCCUUGCUAAACAGUACUCAGACAGUCGGAAAUAUUAUGGAAGUAUAUACAUCUCUGAACCCUUAAGCUUCAAAUGGGAUUGUACGUACGAAGAAACUAAAUUCAUUUCACUUCCCACAGAAAAAAAAAAAAAAAAGAAUGUGAAAUUCAGUUCGAAUUAUACAUAAAUGUGGUAUCUCCACAUCCUGAUUCAACUUUAUACCCCUCCCCACUUAAUUCAAAUUUCAGUAUGUAUGUGUAGAAAUACAAUUCUGCAUAUCAGUUAUAAAAUAUCACUUUUUUCAUUUGAAUCUUUGGAGCUUUAUUAUAUCAUGGUAUUGAUGAAUCGUUGUAUAAUACAGCUCUACAGGGGCCUAUAGUUAAAUCUCUCUCUCUCUCUCUCUCUCUCUCUCUCUCUCUGACAGUCUGGAAAUAUCAUCGACAAGUAGCUUUUUCUAAUGCUAUUUUAUGACACAGAUAUAACGAUGGCUUUGUUCCCUCCUGAGCAGAUACAUACAACGAUUCACUGGAUAGUGCCUUUCCCUCUUGUCUGGCUAGCUAGAUUCUUCUCUUUCUGUUCUUCUUGUGUGAUUUUCUUCUUCUUAUUCUUCCAUUGUUAAUUACUCCACAUAUGGCCAAUUUUGGGUUUCUUUAUUUACAUAUAUAUAAUUGUUUGGGCUCCCUCGAUCGCUUUAUUACUUGUUACUGUUCCGCUGUGUAGCUAGGUUAAAUUGCAGGAUCAUGAACAAAAUAUAUACCACUUGUAGAUCAAACGUCUGCUAGCCAUCACCUGGCAUUUCUAAUUUACCUGCUGCGGACGGCCUGUGACCGGAUCUGUAAGUAUUCAGAGUCAGUCAACAAGAUUCUUUAACAUUGGAUAUUCUUUAAGAUGGGAGCCACCACGUUCCAUUUUCGAUCGCUGACAAAUGAAGCCUCACACAUUGUAAGAGCAAUGUGUGUGUGUGUGUGCCUUGAGGGUUGCCCAAGUCUUGGUCAAUUCAAUCCUCUUUAUUUCUUUAUGAUGUUCCCGCUUCCCUUGAAACUAGAGUUGACAGACAGCUUCUAUAUCUGCGGCAGUGAACUGGGAGUUCUUCAAUGAAUUCUCCUCGAUAACUCACAUCACACACACACACACACGCCUUCAUUUACUCUUUUCUUGCCACUGGACCAACGAAGAAAAUAUGGGAUUUGACCAUUUAUUUGGCUCUAAUCUUCCUAUUUAUUGUGUUGAUGUAGUAUCUGUAAUAAGGUUUUUGCUGGCCGGGCCGUACUCAUGACCCCCUCCAACAAUCUUAUCAAUCCGGCCAGUAUUAGUAGGAUUGAUCUGGCCUUUUUUUGCCUCUUCUAUGAUUUGGGAGAAGAAAAAUUGAACUUUGAUCCCAUCAUUGUUGUAGAUUAAUGAUCUCAUAUUUAUGUAGGAACCGGCCUGAUGCAUGAA